GCUGGUUGGAAGAUAGAGAAGGUUUUUGAACUAUUUGGAGCUUACUUGGUGAUCUUGGGGACUGGUUUAGAAGUGUUCUAACCUGAGCGGGCUUGCAACGGACCUUCGGAUUAUCUUCGACUGAUGUGUGAGGGAUUUUGGAAGCUAAUCUUGAGCAGGAUUGAGAUCUAGUGGAGCUGAUCCUUGGGACUUCUUGUGACUACUUGGAGUAUAGUAUUAGAGCCAUCUACAGGAGAGUCUAG